AGUAAAGGAUGAUAAUUUCUGUUAUUUUGUUAACUCAUAUUCAGUGUAACUUUGUCUAAUAAAUUGAAUAAUACUUAACGUUCAAUAAAUAUCGAUCAAAAGUGGAUUUUGUCUAUCAACUAUCAACACCCCCUUUUUUGUCAUCAUAGACACUAGAACACUGGGUCUAUGAUUUAUAGAUGAUUAAUACACGUUGUAUUUAAUGAGUAUCUCCACAACGAGUACCGCCGUUCCUUCAUAGAGAUUCAUCACAAAUUCUGCGAUUUGAUGGAAUAUGACAAAUUCAUCGGACCUAUGGUCAAAAGCAUCGGAUUGUUCUGUCCGUUGCCAGUUCGAACACUACGAAUCACCAACUUUUCCUUCCCCCUGGACAAGUUUCCUAACGUGUUUCCAUUUGAGAAAUGUCGUAUUGACUCAGAACUAACAGUCACAGCUACAAACGAAUCCAUGAUCAUAAUGUAUCACUACGUUACUUUUAAAAAUAUGAAAAAAACAUAAAUGUAAAAUAAACCAUGACUCUGUAAAAGUA